rnacentral:rRNA from 1 species
UACGUAGGGCGCAAGCGUUGUCCGGAUUUACUGGGCGUAAAGAGCGCGCAGGCGGUCGUUCAAGUCGCGUGUGAAAGCCCCCGGCUCAACUGGGGAGGGUCACGCGAUACUGAUCGACUCGAAGGCAGGAGAGGGAAGUGGAAUUCCCGGUGUAGUGGUGAAAUGCGUAGAUAUCGGGAGGAACACCAGUGGCGAAGGCGACUUCCUGGCCUGUUCUUGACGCUGAGGCGCGAAAGCUAGGGGAGCAAACGGGG